rnacentral:tRNA from 1 species
GCGCUUAUAGCUCAGUGGAUAGAGCGUCUGGUUGCGGUCCAGAAGGUCGCAGGUUCGAUUCCUGCUAAGCGCACAA